AGGUCGUGGCCUAGCAGCUGUUUUUGAACUACCCGAAGUCUGAGGUGAUUGGAAAAGAUGGUCGGAAGCAAUUUUCGAGACAGUGAGGAAGAACUCCUGAUCACUCGCACAUUGGAGCAGGGCUAUGACCGGACCUGGGUCCACGCUGAGUAGCAGGCCAUUGUAAGGGGAUCCAUUCCGAUCUCAAGAGGAAGUUUAAGGGCAAUCACCCUAGAAUGGCCAUAUUUAAAAAAAUGGUCAGAUUUGAAGAGGAGGAAUUCAGAGCAGACCAGAGAGAUCCGUGACAGAAAAUGCCCAGGAUCAUUUUCGGGUUGGAUAUAAGUGGAAAACACAUUUUUGCAUCUACAAAAUUUGUCACAUGUACAGUAAAAUUUCCAGCCAGUGAGCUGUGGCAUCUUGGAGCAGCAU